AGACCUAUAAAGCAAAUUCCUACAUCUUCACUCAAAGUCAUUGUCUUCCGCUCUCUCCUCAACAUGUGCUUCCAAAUUUCAAUGAAUGGCACCACUAUCCACUGGAGGAUUCCCUGCACAGCACAACAGGACUUCUGAGAGAUUCAUGCAGCCAUGCAUCUGAAGGUGGGUGGACUGGAUCCCCAGGAGGCAGUGGAACUAGAAGUUGGCAGUCUACAACCCAGAAGAGGGCCCUCACCAGAAGUCAACCAUGCUGGCACCCUGAUCUCAGACUUCCAGCCUCCAGAACUGUGAGAAAUAAAUGUCUGUUGUUUAUAAG